rnacentral:misc_RNA from 1 species
CUGCUGUGCAGUUUGGAUUUGUGUACCAGUCCCAUUGAUCUCAACAGUCAUCUCUCCAGGAACACCCCUGCUUUCCUGAAUAGAUAUAGCUGCACCACUGGUGCGGCGGAUAUAGCUAAUAUUGGAACCAGCUGACCCGAUCACAGCAUCAGCAUAAGACAGUGGGAUUUGCAUAUGAUGUAUCGAGACCUGAGAGGACAUAGGUGGCUGUUGAUUGGAAUAGGGAUGAGCCCCCAUCGGAG